UACGGAGGGUGCGAGCGUUGUCCGGAAUCACUGGGCGUAAAGGGCGCGUAGGCGGCUGGGGCAGUCGGCGGUGAAAGCCCGGAGCUCAACUCCGGGUCGGCCGUCGAGACUCCUCGGCUCGAGCUCACUAGAGGCAGAUGGAAUUCCGGGUGUAGCGGUGGAAUGCGUAGAGAUCCGGAAGAACACCGGUGGCGAAGGCGGUCUGCUGGGGUGAGGCUGACGCUGAUGCGCGACAGCGUGGGGAGCAAACAGG
rnacentral:rRNA from 1 species